CGUGAACUUAACCACUCGGCCAUGGGCCGGCCCCGCCCCUGGCCUCCUUCUUAUCUCAGGACUUUUAUUCCGGAGACUGGAAGUCCCAGAUCAAGCUGCUGGCAGAUUUGAGGCCCUCCAGGACCAGCUGAACCGACCCCAUCUUAUCAACAGAGUAAUUAAGAGUGGUUUUUCAGGAACUGAGACCCUUUGUCCAGUUCAGGCCGGCUGAGACCACCAACCCAUCAACUGGGCCUGUGCAAAUGCUCGAUAAGUGACCUUUUUGAUGUCAAGGAGCUAACAACUCCACCCUCAGAUCAUGGUAACGCCGCCAUUUUGUGAGCAUGCAUCUUAUGAAGAGCCAUGAAGCUUG
rnacentral:lncRNA from 1 species